GACGAACGCUGGCGGCGUGCUUAACACAUGCAAGUCGAACGAUGAAGCCGGAGCUUGCUCUGGUGAAUUAGUGGCGAACGGGUGAGUAACACGUGAGUAACCUGCCCUUGACUCUGGGAUAACUGCUAGAAAUGGUAGCUAAUACCGGAUACGACCCUCGGCGGCAUCGCCAGGGGGUGGAAAGAAUUUCGGUCAAGGAUGGACUCGCGGCCUAUCAGCUAGUUGGUGAGGUAACGGCUCACCAAGGCGACGACGGGUAGCCGGCCUGAGAGGGUGGCCGGCCACACUGGGACUGAGACACGGCCCAGACUCCUACGGGAGGCAGCAGUGGGGAAUAUUGCACAAUGGGCGCAAGCCUGAUGCAGCAACGCCGCGUGGGGGAUGACGGCCUUCGGGUUGUAAACCUCUUUUAGUAGGGAAGAAGCGAAAGUGACGGUACCUGCAGAAAAAGCACCGGCUAACUACGUGCCAGCCGCCGCCGUAA
rnacentral:rRNA from 1 species